rnacentral:lncRNA from 1 species
UUUGAAAGUUUCUGGUUUGAGGAGAUGUAUUUUUCCAGUUCUUUUGCUUUACCUUCCUGUUUGAUUUUUCUCUUGAAUACCUCUGAUACUCUGUUCUUCUUCUUCUUCUUCUUCUUCUUCUUCUUCUUCUUCUUCUUCUUCUUCUUCUUCUUCUUCUUCUUCUUCUUCUUUUCAAUUGUUUAUUGCUGUACCAAUGCUUGACAUGUAGUUUAAAUUAAAAUGCAUUAAUGACAGA